rnacentral:rRNA from 1 species
AUUGAACGCUGGCGGCGGGCCUAACACAUGCAAGUCGAGCGGCAGCGGGAAAGUAGCUUGCUACUUUUGCCGGCGAGCGGCGGACGGGUGAGUAAUGCCUGGGAAAUUGCCCAGUCGAGGGGGAUAACAGUUGGAAACGACUGCUAAUACCGCAUACGCCCUACGGGGGAAAGCAGGGGACCUUCGGGCCUUGCACGAUUGGAUAUGCCCAGGUGGGAUUAGCUAGUUGGUGAGGUAAUGGCUCACCAAGGCGACGAUCCCUAGCUGGUCUGAGAGGAUGAUCAGCCACACUGGAACUGAGACACGGUCCAGACUCCUACGGGAGGCAGCAGUGGGGAAUAUUGCACAAUGGGGGAAACCCUGAUGCAGCCAUGCCGCGUGUGUGAAGAAGGCCUUCGGGUUGUAAAGCACUUUCAGCGAGGAGGAAAGGUUGAUGCCUAAUACGCAUCAACUGUGACGUUACUCGCAGAAGAAGCACCGGCUAACUCCGUGCCAGCCGCCGCAGUAA